GUCCCAAAACUGCCUGACUAGAGUCCGGGAGAGGCAGGUGGAAUUGGUGGUGUAGGGGUAAAAUCCGUAGAGAUCACCAGGAAUACCCAUUGCGAAGGCGACCUGCUGGAACGGUACUGACGCUGAGGCGCGAAAGCGUGGGGAGCAAACAGGAUUAGAUACCCUGGUAGUCCACGCCCUAAACGAUGGAUGCUAGUCGUUGGGACCCAUGAGGUCUCAGUGAUGCAGCUAACGCAAUAAGCAUCCCGCCUGGGGAGUACGGCCGCAAGGCUAAAACUCAAAGGAAUAGACGGGGACCCGCACAAGCGGUGGAGCAUGUGGUUUAAUUCGAAGAUACGCGAAGAACCUUACCUGGGCUCGACAUCCCUGGAACCCUCCAGAGAUGGAGGGGUGCCCCUUUUAGGGGAGCCAGGUGACAGGUGCUGCACGGCUGUCGUCAGCUCGUGUCGUGAGAUGUUGGGUUAAGUCCCGCAACGAGCGCAACCCUCGCCCUUAGUUGCCAGCACUUAGGGUGGGCACUCUAAGGGGACUGCCCGGGUAACCGGGAGGAAGGUGAGGAUGACGUCAAGUCAUCAUGGCCCUUAUGCCCAGGGCGACACACGUGCUACAAUGGCGCGUACAGAGAGAGGCGAUACCGCGAGGUGGAGCAAAUCUCUAAAGCGCGUCCCAGUUCGGAUCGGAGUCUGCAACUCGACUCCGUGAAGUCGGAAUCGCUAGUAAUCGCGGAUCAGCCAUGCCGCGGUGAAUACGUUCCCGGGUCUUGUACUCACCGCCCGUCACACCAUGGGAGUUGAGCUCACCCGAAGCCGGGGGACCGACCCCGUAAGGGGAGGACCCUCGUCGACGGUGGGCUCAGCGACUGGGGUGAAGUCGUAACAAGGUAAC
rnacentral:rRNA from 1 species